rnacentral:rRNA from 1 species
GAUGAACGCUGGCGGCGUGCCUAAUACAUGCAAGUCGAGCGAACGGACGAGAAGCUUGCUUCUCUGAUGUUAGCGGCGGACGGGUGAGUAACACGUGGAUAACCUACCUAUAAGACUGGGAUAACUUCGGGAAACCGGAGCUAAUACCGGAUAAUAUUUUGAACCGCAUGGUUCAAAAGUGAAAGACGGUCUUGCUGUCACUUAUAGAUGGAUCCGCGCUGCAUUAGCUAGUUGGUAAGGUAACGGCUUACCAAGGCAACGAUGCAUAGCCGACCUGAGAGGGUGAUCGGCCACACUGGAACUGAGACACGGUCCAGACUCCUACGGGAGGCAGCAGUAGGGAAUCUUCCGCAAUGGGCGAAAGCCUGACGGAGCAACGCCGCGUGAGUGAUGAAGGUCUUCGGAUCGUAAAACUCUGUUAUUAGGGAAGAACAUAUGUGUAAGUAACUGUGCACAUCUUGACGGUACCUAAUCAGAAAGCCACGGCUAACUACGUGCCAGCAGCCGCGGUAAUACGUAGGUGGCAAGCGUUAUCCGGAAUUAUUGGGCGUAAAGCGCGCGUAGGCGGUUUUUUAAGUCUGAUGUGAAAGCCCGCGGCUCAACCGUGGAGGGUCAUUGGAAACUGGAAAACUUGAGUGCAGAAGAGGAAGGUGGAAUUCCAUGUGUAGCGGUGAAAUGCGCAGAGAUAUGGAGGAACACCAGUGGCGAAGGCGACUUUCUGGUCUGUAACUGACGCUGAUGUGCGAAAGCGUGGGGAUCAAACAGGAUUAGAUACCCUGGUAGUCCACGCCGUAAACGAUGAGUGCUAAGUGUUAGGGGGUUUCCGCCCCUUAGUGCUGCAGCUAACGCAUUAAGCACUCCGCCUGGGGAGUACGACCGCAAGGUUGAAACUCAAAGGAAUUGACGGGGACCCGCACAAGCGGUGGAGCAUGUGGUUUAAUUCGAAGCAACGCGAAGAACCUUACCAAAUCUUGACAUCCUUUGACAACUCUAGAGAUAGAGCUUUCCCCUUCGGGGGACAAAGUGACAGGUGGUGCAUGGUUGUCGUCAGCUCGUGUCGUGAGAUGUUGGGUUAAGUCCCGCAACGAGCGCAACCCUUAAGCUUAGUUGCCAUCAUUAAGUUGGGCACUCUAAGUUGACUGCCGGUGACAAACCGGAGGAAGGUGGGGAUGACGUCAAAUCAUCAUGCCCCUUAUGAUUUGGGCUACACACGUGCUACAAUGGACAAUACAAAGGGCAGCGAAACCGCGAGGUCAAGCAAAUCCCAUAAAGUUGUUCUCAGUUCGGAUUGUAGUCUGCAACUCGACUACAUGAAGCUGGAAUCGCUAGUAAUCGUAGAUCAGCAUGCUACGGUGAAUACGUUCCCGGGUCU